rnacentral:rRNA from 1 species
AGAGUUUGAUCCUGGCUCAGAUUAAACGCUGGCGGCAUGCCUUACACAUGCAAGUCGAACGGCAGCACGGGGGCAACCCUGGUGGCGAGUGGCGAACGGGUGAGUAAAGCAUCGGAACGUGCCCUGGAUGGGGGAUAACGUAGCGAAAGUUACGCUAAUACCGCAUAUUCUGUGAGCAGGAAAGCAGGGGAUCGCAAGACCUUGCGCUUUGGGAGCGGCCGAUGUCGGAUUAGCUAGUUGGUGGGGUAAAGGCCUACCAAGGCGACGAUCCGUAGCGGGUCUGAGAGGAUGAUCCGCCACACUGGGACUGAGACACGGCCCAGACUCCUACGGGAGGCAGCAGUGGGGAAUUUUGGACAAUGGGCGCAAGCCUGAUCCAGCCAUGCCGCGUGAGUGAAGAAGGCCUUCGGGUUGUAAAGCUCUUUCGGUGGGGAAGAAAUUGCACGGGUUAAUAGCCUGUGUAGAUGACGGUACCUGGAGAAGAAGCACCGGCUAACUACGUG